GCAAGUCCGGGGGCCCGCAAGGGCAACCGGCGAACGGGUGCGUAACACGUGAACAACCUGCCCUCGUGUGGGGGAUAGCCGGGCUAACGCCCGGGUAAUACCGCAUACGGUCCUUUGGGGGAGUCCCCGAGGGAAGAAAGCUCCGGCGCACGGGGAGGGGUUCGCGGCCUAUCAGCUAGUUGGCGAGGUAAUGGCUCACCAAGGCGACGACGGGUAGCUGGUCUGAGAGGAUGGCCAGCCACAUUGGGACUGAGAAACGGCCCAGACUCCUACGGGAGGCAGCAGUGGGGAAUCUUGCGCAAUGGCCGAAAGGCUGACGCAGCGACGCCGCGUGUGGGAGGACGCCUUUCGGGGUGUAAACCACUGCUGCCCGGGACGAACACGCUCUUUCGAGAGCGCUGACGGUACCGGGUGAGGAAGCACCGGCUAACUCCGUGCCAGCAGCCGCGGUAAUACGGAGGGUGCGAGCGUUGUCCGGAAUCAUUGGGCGUAAAGGGCGCGUAGGUGGCCCGGUCAGUCAGUGGUGAAAGCGCGGGGCUCAACUCCGCGUCGGCCAUUGAUACUGCUGGGCUUGAGCACUGUAGAGGCAGGCGGAAUUCCGGGUGUAGCGGUGGAAUGCGUANAGAUCCGGAAGAACACCGGUGNCGAAGGCGGCCUGCUGGGCAGUAGCUGACACUGAGGCGCGACAGCGUG
rnacentral:rRNA from 1 species